rnacentral:rRNA from 1 species
AUGGUGAAGAUCUGCUGCAUCGGAGCUGGCUACGUCGGCGGCCCAACCAUGGCCGUCAUUGCCAUCAAGUGCCCGGCGAUCGAGGUUGUUGUCGUCGACAUCUCCAAGCCCCGCAUUGACGCCUGGAACAGCGACACCCUCCCCAUCUACGAGCCCGGCCUCGACGACGUUGUCAAGGCCUGCAGGGGCAAGAACCUCUUCUUCAGCACUGAUGUUGAGAAGCAUGUCGCCGAGGCCGACAUCAUCUUUGUGUCCGUGAACACCCCCACCAAGACCCGCGGCCUGGGAGCCGGCAAGGCCGCCGACCUCACCUACUGGGAGAGCGCCGCCCGGAUGAUCGCCGACGUGUCCAAGUCGGACAAGAUCGUCGUCGAGAAGUCCACCGUGCCUGUCAAGACCGCCGAGGCCAUCGAGAAGAUCCUGACCCACAACAGCAAGGGCAUCAACUACCAGAUCCUGUCCAACCCGGAGUUCCUCGCCGAGGGCACGGCGAUCGAGGACCUGUUCAAGCCCGACAGGGUGCUCAUCGGCGGCCGGGAGACCCCCGGGGGCCAGAAGGCCGUCCAGGCCCUCAAGGAGGUGUACGCCCACUGGGUGCCCGAGGCGAACAUCAUCACCACCAACCUGUGGUCGGCCGAGCUCUCCAAGCUGGCCGCCAACGCGUUCCUGGCGCAGAGGAUCUCGUCCGUGAACGCCAUGUCGGCGCUGUGCGAGGCCACCGGCGCCAACGUGUCGGAGGUGUCGUACGCCAUCGGCAAGGACUCGCGGAUCGGGCCCAAGUUCCUGAACGCCAGCGUGGGGUUCGGCGGGUCGUGCUUCCAGAAGGACAUCCUGAACCUGGUGUACAUCUGCGAGUGCAACGGCCUGCCGGAGGUGGCCAACUACUGGAAGCAGGUGAUCAAGAUCAACGACUACCAGAAGAGCCGGUUCGUGAACCGGGUGGUGUCGUCCAUGUUCAACACGGUGUCCGGCAAGAAGAUCGCGGUGCUCGGGUUCGCGUUCAAGAAGGACACGGGCGACACCCGGGAGACGCCGGCGAUCGACGUGUGCAAGGGCCUGGUGGGCGACAAGGCCCAGGUGAGCAUCUACGACCCGCAGGUGACGGAGGAGCAGAUCCAGCGGGACCUGGCCAUGAACAAGUUCGACUGGGACCACCCGAUGCACCUGCAGCCGACCAGCCCCACGGCGGUGAAGCAGGUGAGCGUGGUGUGGGACGCGUACGAGGCCUGCAAGGGCGCCCACGGCGUGUGCAUCCUCACCGAGUGGGACGAGUUCAAGAAGCUCGACUACCAGAAGAUCUUCGACAACAUGCAGAAGCCGGCCUUCGUCUUCGACGGCCGCAACGUGGUCGACGCCGAGAAGCUCAGGGAGAUGGGCUUCAUCGUCUACUCCAUCGGCAAGCCGCUCGACGGCUGGCUCAAGGACAUGCCCGCCGUGGCCUAA